rnacentral:rRNA from 1 species
CACGUAGGGCGCAAGCGUUGUCCGGAAUUAUUGGGCGUAAAGAGCUCGUAGGCGGUCUGUUGCGUCUGCUGUGAAAACCCGGGGCUUAACCCCUGGCUUGCAGUGGAUACGGACAGACUAGAGGUAGGUAGGGGAGAAUGGAAUUCCCGGUGUAGCGGUGAAAUGCGCAGAGAUCGGGAGGAACACCCGUAGCGAAGGCGGCGCUCUGGGCCGGUACUGACGCUGAGGAGCGAAAGCGUGGGGAGCAAACAGG